rnacentral:piRNA from 1 species
UAUGAACCUCAACCAGAGCCAUUAAUGGGUCC